GCCUGUAAUCCGACAGGGCACGUUCCACUUUCCGCUGCCCCAUUGGCCCUUUAACCCUUUGUGGCCCACUACGAGGGCCUCGGCGGAGCGGCCCUUAACUCCUGAUUUGUGCACACAUCCAUCAUUAUCAUUAUCAGCCCGGGCAGGCCCGUUGUUAGUCCACAAUUGCGUUUUGUUGUGCUAACCAAAACUGUCAACAUUCAGCUGCCAGUUGAUGGAGCAGCCGGGUUAGUCCAAACGUUAUGAUAAUCACCCACGAUGGCAUGGGUGCUCGUACUGGGGUGUCGCCCGUGAUGGGAUGGAGCAGGUGGCAGCCGAUGGCAGGACAUGGACUUGGACAUGAACAGGGGCAGACGACAGUCAUUUUCCAGUUACUCGACUGAUUGUUAAGGAAUUCCCGAGACCACAUUCGCUCCACAAACAUGGGUCUAAAUGGGUCUGGCCAGAUGCAGGCGAGCCCAUUGGUCUUCGAACAUAACUCUUUUGCGCCCUGACCGCUUCAGACAGUUGGAAUUACGAGCACUUCCGGAUGCUUCGGCAAAUAAUUAAGACUCCGUUUUAGAGUGGAGCUACCAUAUUUUAUCCGUGGCGAUUUCGUGCCGGCACAUCAAUCAAAGUAAAUAUUUAUAAAUUUCCGCACACAUCCUUGCACAAGGACGAAGGACGAAGGCCACGGGCAGGGAGCCGGGAGCA